rnacentral:rRNA from 1 species
AAUUAUGAAAGCAAAAAAUUAUGGCGGUAUUUUAAGCUUUUCAGAGGAAUUUGCUCUUUAAUGGAUAAAACACCUAAAUCUUACUUAAAUUUGUUAUUUCAAUUUGUAUACCACUAUAAAAAUAAUUAAUAACUUUAAUUAUUUAAAUUUACCAAAUUAAAUUAUAUUAAGUCAAGGUGCAGUAAAAAUUUAAGAAUGAAGUGAAUUACAUUACUUUUUAGAGAAAAAAAAUUAAAUUUAUAUUUAGGAUUUGAAAGUAAAAUUAAAAUAGAAUGUUAAUUUGAAUCAAGCUCUAAAAUAUGUACACAUCGCCCGUCGCUCUCAU